CGUGCAGGCGGCCCAUUAAGUCAGAUGUGAAAGCCCUUGGCUCAACCAAGGAACUGCAUCUGAAACUACUGGGCUUGAGUACGGGAGAGGAGAGUGGAAUUCCCGGUGUAGAGGUGAAAUUCGUAGAUAUCGGGAAGAACACCGGUGGCGAAGGCGGCUCUCUGGACCGAUACUGACGCUGAGACGCGAAAGCGUGGGGAGCAAACA
rnacentral:rRNA from 1 species